rnacentral:rRNA from 1 species
UACAGAGGGUGCGAGCGUUGUCCGGAAUCACUGGGCGUAAAGGGCGCGUAGGCGGCCUGAUAAGUCGGGGGUGAAAUCCUGUGGCUCAACCACAGGGCUGCCUCCGGGACUGUCGGGCUCGAGCACAGUAGAGGCAGGUGGAAUUCCCGGUGUAGCGGUGGAAUGCGUAGAGAUCGGGAAGAACAUCGGUGGCGAAGGCGGCCUGCUGGGCUGUUGCUGACGCUGAGGCGCGACAGCGUGGGGAGCGAACAGG